CAUCAAGUUCCAAAAGGUCCACACCUCGGCGCUUGAGAUCGAAAACAAGUACUUCUUGCCAUCCUCCAAACAUUUCUAGCUAUAAGCCCGAAAGCUCGAGCGAGACAUCGAGGAUUUGGAAGCACAGGGAGCGGCCGAGGCUCCCAGAACCGGAGGCUCAUCGCGUCUACGAGCAAAGCUACAAGGAUUGAAAAUGCGGAUAAACGACUUGCAAUCAACCUGUGACAGGCAGCUGGAGGAGCUCGCGCUCCUUCGCAAGGACUUGCGUGUUUCUCAUACAAAGG